GCCGGUGUGGUGGAGGGGCAAGGCGCCUGGCUGCAGUCCAGAUCACAGUGGUUCGAAUCCGCUCACCGGCU
rnacentral:tRNA from 1 species